AGCCUUCUCCCAGGAAUUUUGUGUGGCAGCCUUUUUGAUAAGCAAAAGAGGAGAAUAGCUGGCAGUGGCUAUCAGCUCUUCCUCGUUGAGCACCUGAUGCCCAAGUGUGACAGGGUGUGGGAAAAGCUGAGCACCAUCUCCUGGAAGCAGCAAAUAUAAGCCCACAACAGCAACAGAUGCUGGACCUGAUGCCCUACCUAGGAGCACUGUGACAAAGCCUGAUUUCUAUCUGGCUGCUCUUCUUCGUUGCUGCAUGCCUGGGGAUGAGCUCAGCCAACAUGUAGCCGUGGCUAACCUGGGCAUGCAGUGGACCGAGGUCUGAGGGAUCUGUGCACUGUGCAGAUGAGCUGGAGAGUGGGAUGGGCUGCACAGUCAUUCCUGGGGGCAACAGCAACAUGAUUCUCAGCGAUGGUCAGUGUUUGGCUCCUGUAUGCUGUGCAGGAGAACAGGAUUUACCAUCAGGGCUGG